rnacentral:rRNA from 1 species
GUACAAUAAGCAAAAUAAGGGCGUAUGGGGGAUGCCUAGGCUCUCAGAGGCGAUGAAAGGCGUGAUAAGCUGCGAAAAGCUGCGGGGACGGGCACACACCGAUUGAUCCGCAGAUACCUGAAUGGGGCAACCCACUAU